GGAUUGUGGCUUAGCGGUAGAGAGCUCCCCUAACAUGUGGGAGGCCCUGGGUUCAAUCCUCAGCACCA
rnacentral:tRNA from 1 species